rnacentral:rRNA from 1 species
CCGUCCAUGGGCUGGAUUAACUGGCCAACGGGUGAGUAACACGUGAGUAACCUGCCCCUGACUCUGGGAAUAAGCGUUGGAAACGACGUCUAAUACUGGAUAUGAUCGCCGGCCGCAUGGUCUGGUGGUGGAAAGAUUUUUUGGUUGGGGAUGGACUCGCGGCCUAUCAGCUUGUUGGUGAGGUAAUGGCUCACCAAGGCGACGACGGGUAGCCGGCCUGAGAGGGUGACCGGCCACACUGGGACUGAGACACGGCCCAGACUCCUACGGGAGGCAGCAGUGGGGAAUAUUGCACAAUGGGCGAAAGCCUGAUGCAGCAACGCCGCGUGAGGGAUGACGGCCUUCGGGUUGUAAACCUCUUUUAGUAGGGAAGAAGCGAAAGUGACGGUACCUGCAGAAAAAGCACCGGCUAACUACGUGCCAGCAGCCGCGGUAAUACGUAGGGUGCAAGCGUUGUCCGGAAUUAUUGGGCGUAAAGAGCUCGUAGGCGGUUUGUCGCGUCUGCUGUGAAAUCCCGAGGCUCACCUCGGGCUUGCAGUGGGUACGGGCAGACUAAGUGCGGUAGGGGAAGAUUGGAAUUCCUGGUGUACGGUGGAAUGCGCAGAUAUCAGGAGGAACACCGAUGGCGAAGGCAGAUCUCUGGGCCGUAACUGACGCUGAGGAGCGAAAGCGUGGGGAGCGAACAGGAUUAAAACCCUGGUAGUCCCCGCCGAAACCUUGGGG